rnacentral:tRNA from 1 species
GCACCUAUAGCUCAGUUGGAUAGAGCGUUCGCCUCCGGAGCGAAAGGCCGCUGGUUCGAAUCCAGUUAGGUGCG